rnacentral:ncRNA from 1 species
AAACCUUUCCGGGGCAGGGUGCAACUCCCGACCGGCGGUGAUGGGCGCUAAAGCCCUUAGUCCGUGACCCGCAUACGUGCGGUGGAUCUGGUGCGAUUCCGGAGCCGACAGUGAAAGUCUGGAUGGGAGGAAAGGACA